rnacentral:tRNA from 1 species
GCCCCGGUAGCUCAGUUGGCAGAGCGGCCGCCUUGUAAGCGGCAGGCCGGGGGUUCGAGGCCCCCCCGGGGCU